rnacentral:lncRNA from 1 species
AAAAACAAAAUCGGGGUAACAAACUAAAACUGAGGGAAACGCAUUAAAUAUAAGAGGAGAACAACGACACAACACUACAAUGAAACACACACAGAAACGGACCAAGCAUCAGACAAAAUCCCACGAGAAUAACAAAUAUAACAUCAAAACCAAAUACAUGAAUUUGGGAUAGACAAGUACCGUGACACGUCUUAUCGCAAUGUGAAUUUACACUCAAAAAUAAGAGAAAAACAAACGACGCAACGUUAAAAUGUAACACACACAGAAACGAAC